rnacentral:rRNA from 1 species
AUUGAACGCUGGCGGCAGGCUUAACACAUGCAAGUCGAGCGGGGUGAUGGUGCUUGCACUAUCACUUAGCGGCGGACGGGUGAGUAAUGCUUAGGAAUCUGCCUAUUAGUGGGGGACAACAUCUCGAAAGGGAUGCUAAUACCGCAUACGUCCUACGGGAGAAAGCAGGGGAUCACUUGUGACCUUGCGCUAAUAGAUGAGCCUAAGUCGGAUUAGCUAGUUGGUGGGGUAAAGGCCUACCAAGGCGGCGAUCUGUAGCGGGUCUGAGAGGAUGAUCCGCCACACUGGGACUGAGACACGGCCCAGACUCCUACGGGAGGCAGCAGUGGGGAAUAUUGGACAAUGGGGGGAACCCUGAUCCAGCCAUGCCGCGUGUGUGAAGAAGGCCUUAUGGUUGUAAAGCACUUUAAGCGAGGAGGAGGCUCUUUUGGUUAAUACCCAAGAUGAGUGGGCGUUACUCGCAGAAUAAGCACCGGCUAACUCUGUGCCAGCCGCCGCUGUAA